CCGGGACACGAACCCGUGUCCCCUGCAUCGGCAGGCGGACUCUCAACCACCGCGCCACCAGGGAAGCCCUAUACACAAAAAUUUAACUCAAAAUGGGUCAUAGACCUAACAUAAGAGCUAAGCUCAUAAAACUUCAGGAAGAAAACAGGAGAAAAUUUUUGCAAUCCCAGUUUAGACAAAGAUUUUUCAGGACACAAAAAGCACAAAGCCUAAAGAAAGAGUUGAUAAACAGGACUUCAUAAAAUUAAAAACUUUUGCUCUUUGAAAGAUACCAUUUAGAAAAUGAAAACGCCAGUUGUAGACUGGAAGAAAGUAUUUUCAAAACAUAAAUCUGACAAAGGAACUGUAUCCAGAAUUUACAGACCAUAAUGAACUCUUACAAGAGGACAAACAACUGUUUUAUAAAUUUAAUUUUUUUAACUUUUUAUUUUAUAUUGGAGUAUAGUUGAUUAACAAUGUUGUGACAGAUUUUUUUAAAUAGGCAAAAGUUCUGAACAGACUUUUCACCAAAUAAUUGACAUAUGAAUGGCCAAUCAGCACAUGAAAAGAUGCUUCACCGUUACUAGUCAUCACAGGAAUGCAAAUUAAAACCACAAUGAAAAACUACUAUACAACCAUUAAAAUGAAUGAGACAGACCUUCAAUAUGGUGGAGGAGUGAGACGUGGAGAUCACCUUCCUCCCCACAAAUACAUCAGAAAUACAUCUACACGUGGAACAACUCCUAUAGAACGCCUACUGAACGCUGGCA